AAAAGGGAGGGGAAAAAUGAAGCAAACCCAGGGGCCAAAGAAUGAUCUUUAGAAUGAAAAUUAAGUUAUAAGUCCAUAACAAACAAAGAAUUAACUCAAUGAAGAAUGGAAUUUAUUAGAAUAUACACAGAAGAACUGGAAAGAAAUUAAGACUUACAAAGACUCCCUUCUCUUCUUCAGAGAAAUCGCUGUUUGGGAACGAAUCAAAAGAAUCCAUCACUAGUAUUAUACCAGUACUCCAGAU